UUCGGCGGUCAUCGACGGUGGGUCAUACCCGUUCCCAUUCCGAACACGGAAGUCAAGCCACCUGUCGCCGAUGGUACCUGGCCUUCGGGCCCGGGAGAGUAGGUCGCCGCCGGAU
rfam:Fibrobacter sp. TWOS genome assembly, contig: Ga0136287_166